UACCAGCACCCCGAGUGGUCGGGACGUUUAUUGGGCCUAAAGCAUCCGUAGCCGGUUCUACGAGUCUUCCGUUAAAUCCAACUGCUUAACAGGUGGGCUGCGGAAGAUACUAUAGAGCUAGGAGGCGGGAGAGGCAAGCGGUACUCGAUGGGUAGGGGUAAAAUCCGUUGAUCCAUUGAAGACCACCAGUGGCGAAGGCGGCUUGCCAGAACGCGCUCGACGGUGAGG
rnacentral:rRNA from 1 species